GUCCGAACUAGUGUGGGUUGAAAACCGCUUGGAUGAACUGAGGGUAGGGGUGAAAGGCUAAUCAAACUCGGAAAUAGCUCGUUUUCCUCGAAAUAGCUUUAGGGCUAGCCUCGGACUAUAGUAUUAUGGAGGUAGAGCACUGAUUGGGCUAGGGCUGUCACAACGGUACCAAACCCAGACAAACUCCGAAUUCCAUUAAUAUGUUCUCCGGGAGUCAGGCUGCGAGGGAUAAGCUCCGCGGCCAAGAGGGGAACAACCCAGACCACCAACUAAGGUCCCCAAGUCACAGUUAACAGAUAAAGGAUGUUGAGUUGCUUAGACAACUAGGAUGUUGGCUUAGAAGCAGCCAUUCAUUUAAAGAGUGCGUAAUAGCUCACUAGUCAAGCGACUCGGCGUCGACAAUAAACGGGACUUAAACUGUGCACCGG
rnacentral:rRNA from 1 species